AGACAGAGGUCCCGAGCGUUAGGCGGAAUCACUGGGCUUAAAGCGUGUGUAGGCGGAUUUGUAAGUACCUUGUGAAAUCCCACGGCUUAACCGUGGAACUGCUUGGUAUACUGCUUAUCUUGGGCCACUUAGGGGUUACCGGAACAAACGGUGGAGCGGUGAAAUGCGUAGAUAUCGUUUGGAACGCCAAUGGUGAAAACAGGUAACUGGGAGUGUGCCGACGCUGAGACACGAAAGCCAGGGGAGCGAACG
rnacentral:rRNA from 1 species